GACGAACGCUGGCGGCGUGCUUAACACAUGCAAGUCGAACGAUGAAGCCGGAGCUUGCUCUGGUGAAUUAGUGGCGAACGGGUGAGUAACACGUGAGUAACCUGCCCUUGACUCUGGGAUAACUGCUAGAAAUGGUAGCUAAUACCGGAUACGACCCUCGGAGGCAUCUUCAGGGGGUGGAAAGAAUUUCGGUCAAGGAUGGACUCGCGGCCUAUCAGCUAGUUGGUGAGGUAAUGGCUCACCAAGGCGACGACGGGUAGCCGGCCUGAGAGGGUGACCGGCCACACUGGGACUGAGACACGGCCCAGACUCCUACGGGAGGCAGCAGUGGGGAAUAUUGCACGAUGGGUGCAAGCCUGAUGCAGCAACGCCGCGUGAGGGAUGACGGCCUUCGGGUUGUAAACCUCUUUUAGUAGGGAAGAAGCGAAAGUGACGGUACCUGCAGAAAAAGCACCGGCUAACUACGUGCCAGCCGCCGCCGUAA
rnacentral:rRNA from 1 species